GUGACUUACAAGCAAGUCGUCUAGUAAGUCUUCUAUUUGAAAGUCUUAUGAAUCGAAAAUAUUUAACCUUAUUGGAAUUUUUGUCUCCAUAUAUAAAGAAAAAUUUACACAUUCUCUCAUUCUCUCAAAUGGCUGCGACAAAAAUGGUAUGUUCCUGAUUCUAAAACUCUCAAACCUCUCUCUAAUCUUUUUGAACUUAUAAACACCAAACUUUAUAUUAAUUUAUUGUUUUUGUCUCAUGUCUUUCUCACUUCUCACUAGUUUAUCUUGUUUUGCAGGUUUUUCAUCACAUGGUUAUCAUCUUCCACUCAUUUAAAGGUAGAUCUAUUAAUUUUGGAUAUGUCUUUUUGUGUGU
rnacentral:lncRNA from 1 species